AACCCAUGGUGAAGGCACUUUCUUAAUCAAUCCUAGUAUCUCUCCUAUGCAUCCUAUAGUGUUUCUAAAUCCAUCUACACAAAAGAAGAGAUAUCAUUCCAUAAUUU
rfam:Gossypium arboreum cultivar AKA8401 contig_23701_1, whole genome shotgun sequence.